rnacentral:sRNA from 1 species
GCCAGACAUGGUAGCGCACGCCUGUGAUCCUAGUGGCUUGGAGGCUGAGGCAGGAGGAUCAUGAGUUCAAAGCCAGCCUCAGCAGUGAUGAGGUGCUAAGCAACUCAGUGAGACCCUGUCUGUA